rnacentral:lncRNA from 1 species
GAGGUAGUAGGCCUGGACGGCUAAGAGGGCAGAAAGUCUUGACCAUGUACAGUGUUGGCUUUGCCCAAUGAUUGACAAAUUGACACGACAAACUGAAAAGCAGAAGUUAGUGUUCAAAGAAGUUCAAGAGUAAACAUUUAGUCAAUUCGUCUGCUUAGACUGAGAAAGCCUCCGUGCCCAGGAUUCUGAAGGUAGGUUCUAGAUUAGUGGAGAAGAUUCUCUGUACUCUUUUCCCAGCUUCAGGUCACAUGCAGAAUGAGUCUACUCAUAGCGUCCUCA